rnacentral:rRNA from 1 species
GAGGAAUAUUGGACAAUGGAUGGAAAUCUGAUCCAGCCAUGCCGCGUGCAGGAAGACGGCCCUAUGGGUUGUAAACUGCUUUUGUAUGGGAGCAAUAAGGUCUAUGCGUAGACUGAUGAGAGUACCAUACGAAUAAGCAUCGGCUAACUCCGUGCCAGCAGCCGCGGUAAUACGGGGGAUGCAAGCGUUAUCCGGAUUUAUUGGGUUUAAAGGGUGCGUAGGCGGUUUGAUAAGUCAGCGGUGAAAUAUUUCAGCUUAACUGAAAGGGUGCCGUUGAUACUGUCAGGCUUGAAUAUGGUUGCUGUGGGUGGAAUGUGUGGUGUAGCGGUGAAAUGCUUAGAUAUCACACAGAAUAUCGAUUGCGAAGGCAGCUCACAAAGCCAUUAUUGACGCUGAUGCACGAAAGUGUGGGGAUCAAAC